CUUGGAGAAUUCAAAGCUAUGAAAUUCAGAGCUCAAAUUUGAACGCAAUAUUAAGACUAUUGCUGUUCCUAGUGAGUCUGUGCAUGCUAUCUACAGUCAUCUGCUUUUGGGAUUGCAUUCUGAACUUUUCCUUCAUUUUGGUCAUGUAAUCAGAAAGUAUAAGUGAACUUUGUUGUGUUAUACAUGUAUUCUCAUGAAGUAGGAAUUCCAUUCUUUACCUAUGUUCACAUGGAAUUAAUUUGGUUUUCUUUCUAAAAGAAACAGCUUAGAACAAACCCAUAGCAGUCUCUCUAUUUUCUACAUUGUCAUCCCAUUUGGAAAAUCCAAUACUGUUUUUUUCCUCCCAUUGGUGACUGUGUGCAAAUGUGUGCCUUUGUCGGCACAAAACCAACACCAGUGAAGGUGUUUGCCUAGAUCUAUUAAAACUGCAUUCCUAGAUAGAACUUGCGAAUGACAAAUGCUGCAGGCUUUCAAAAAGAGCUAGAAAAUACAGUAGGAUUUAUAUACAAUAUUAAGAGAAAAAGAGGACACUAAAAGAAAUUUUUGAGUAAAAGACAAGAAAAAAUGCAAAACUCAAUAUUAUUUUUCUUUUAAUAACCGUCUUUUUCUUUCUUGAAGUUAUGGGAUUUCCUCAAUACCUGCUUAAUUUCUUCUAGAUGGCGCUCUAAAACACUUGCCAGAAGGUGGCGACAGAAGCCCUUUUUGCCCAGAUCUGUCCCAGGUGCUGAACCCAGUUUUGGAGCUGAAGAGAAACUGCGGGGCCAGAGACCAGGGAUUCCACCAAGUUCUCCCUAGAGGUUUGCAAGCUCUGAUACUUCUAGGCUUGGAGACUGUUUGCCAGUGGGGAAGCUCCGGCUCCGGCAGACAGUUGGGCAGCGGCAAAGUAAAAUGGACAGCGAGAGACAGACGUUCCAGCCACCUCUCCGCCGCCCAGAGAUCCCGGAGCUGUUCUCCGGCCAACUCACUUCCCAGCUGGAGUCUCUGAGCGCGCUGGACCGCGGGAGCCCAGGGAGCGCCUAGAAGCUGCUCAUCGGAGAUGCCCUCGCCUGAGCAGUAAGAACUUCCUGCUUGAAUCCCUGCAUCCCCUCCAGCUGAAACUCCACAGGAGAAAGGGGCGGAAGACCCCAGGGGGAGGGGCAAGGGGGAUUCUGGCUCAGCUCUUUCUCCCCUCCCCCU
rnacentral:lncRNA from 1 species